rnacentral:rRNA from 1 species
GACGAACGCUGGCGGCGUGCUUAACACAUGCAAGUCGAACGGAAAGGCCCUGCUUUUGUGGGGUGCUCGAGUGGCGAACGGGUGAGUAACACGUGAGUAACCUGCCCUUGACUUUGGGAUAACUUCAGGAAACUGGGGCUAAUACCGGAUAGGAGCUCCUGCUGCAUGGUGGGGGUUGGAAAGUUUCGGCGGUUGGGGAUGGACUCGCGGCUUAUCAGCUUGGUGGUGGGGUAGUGGCUUACCAAGGCUUUGACGGGUAGCCGGCCUGAGAGGGUGACCGGCCACAUUGGGACUGAGAUACGGCCCAGACUCCUACGGGAGGCAGCAGUGGGGAAUAUUGCACAAUGGGCGGAAGCCUGAUGCGGCAACGCCGCGUGCGGGAUGACGGCCUUCGGGUGGUAAACCGCUUUCGCCUGUGACGAAGCGUGAGUGACGGUAAUGGGUAAAGAAGCACCGGCUAACUACGUG